rnacentral:rRNA from 1 species
AGUUGGUCUGAGAGGACGACCAGCCACACUGGGACUGAGACACGGCCCAGACUCCUACGGAGGCAGCAGUGGGGAAUUUUGGACAAUGGGCGCAAGCCUGAUCCAGCAAUGCCGCGUGCAGGAAGAAGGCCUUCGGGUUGUAAACUGCUUUUGUCAGGGAAGAAAUCUUCUGGGUUAAUACCCCGGGAGGAUGACGGUACCUGAAGAAUAAGCACCGGCUAACUACGUGCCAGCAGCCGCGGUAAUACGUAGGGUGCGAGCGUUAAUCGGAAUUACUGGGCGUAAAGCGUGCGCAGGCGGCUUUGCAAGACAGAGGUGAAAUCCCCGGGCUCAACCUGGGAACUGCCUUUGUGACUGCAAGGCUAGAGUACGGCAGAGGGGGAUGGAAUUCCGCGUGUAGCAGUGAAAUGCGUAGAUGUGCGGAGGAACACCAAUGGCGAAGGCAAUCCCCUGGGGCCUGUACUGACGCUCAUGCACGAAAGCGUGGGGAGC